ACCACAAAGCCUAAAGGAGCCUAGAACUGUUAGAAAAUUAUACAUUCAUUGAAAGAGUUCAUUUCAAUAAAGAGGCCUCGAAGAAAAUCACUCUUCUCCUGCAAACACACACCACCUGCGGGGAGAGGAGGCCGGUUGUAAGUGAUGGAAGGGGCACACUACUACUGGAUUUUAUGGAGGUGGGAGAAAACGAUCAAAGGGAGUCCUUUCACCUUCCCUGUUUUAUAAAUGGCAAACCUUUCCUAAACAAGCUGUCCAUCCAACCGCCAAAACCACAGGACAAGAAUUUCUACUCAAGGGGGAAACAGCAAGAAAGAAAAAAAGGUCACCAUUCCUAGAGCAGAGUUGCUUCUGGGAAGCAAUUGCCUGGCCAGAGACUACAUUUCCCAGCCUCCCUUGCACGGAUGUGGGACUAUGGACUAGCUCUUAUCAGUGAAACAAGAGCAGAGCUGAAGAGGUGCUCGUGCAGGAUGCUGUAUUCCAGGGACCAUGACACCUCACCUUCCGGCUCCUGCAUCCUUCCUGCAGUAUCUAAGGGGACAGUGAGUUUAGAUGCCACUGAUACAAUCCCAACAUCACAGAAUGGAAGGAGUUUGGGUUCCAGAGUAACCAGCCUCGCAGGAGAGCUGCCAGACUUGGCUUGGACAGCGACACGAGGGAGAAACAAACGUAUAUGUGAGAUCGCUGAGGUCAUGUUACCGCGACUGAAGUAAGAUAAGGUGGUGUCCGGAGUAUGGGGUCUGGAGCUUGACUACCUGGAUUCAAAUCCCUGCUCAGUCAUCUCUUGGCUGUGUGACUUAAGGUAAGUUACUCACCCUCUCUGUGCCUCAAUGUCUUCAUCUGGUGGAUGGAGCUCACAGACUCUAGUCUGUCAUAGGGUAGCUGUGAAGAUUAGACGAGUCGAUGCAUGUAGAGAGCUUCUAACAGUGCUUGACCUUGAGCAGCCAUUCAGUACAUUAUACAUUAGCAAGGUGGGAUAAGGAAAUGGGGGUUUGGGAAGGUGAAUGGCUGACUCCAAAGCACUUACGUUGGGAUCCACAGUGGAAACUCUUCUAAUCUUUUAUCAACAACCAGAUGAGAAGAUACAUCUGCUUCUGCUUCUAAGAGUUGGUGAUUCUCAUCCUUCUCUCUGCACUUGCCCUUGCCGUGUCCUUGGUCAGCACAGAGGAAGGACAACAGCCCAUCUCCCUCACAUCGGAAGUGGCUCCACAAGUUGGCCUUCACUGCCAUCAACCCUAACAGGUGUGGUGCUCUAUCUCCACAGUCCUCCAGAGCGCCCUCAAGUCCCUCAGGGUGUCUUUACUCCAAGAAGGGGUUCUAGACUAGACAAGCAGAGGUGUUGCAGAAAGGAAGAUACUGCAAAGGAUUCAGGCAGCAAAGGGUGUGCUCCCCACACUGGGGAAGACAUCUGGGCAGAAGGGCCUGGGCUGGACCUCACAUCCAUCCCUCUUCCCUUGGGGUCCUUGACCACCCUUGAGAAUGGCACCUACAUGCUCUAAUUCUCCAUAAAAUCCAGAGGCAAAAUGUCCCUGCUGUAAAGACCUUGAACCCUUUUUGGGAAGGUUUUAUGAACUUAAUAUCAUGGGUUGCUCUAACCCCAGCCUUUGUCCUGACAGCAUCUGCUCAGGGAGUUUGAGAUUCAGCCAGUCUGUAAAGAGCUUCAGAUCCAGGGCUUUGAGGUGGGGAGAAGUGGUCACCUUGGAGAAAGCAGGAAACUGUGGCCAGCUGGGGCAUUCUUUGCUAUAGAUUCCAAGAGACAAACUUGCUGAUCCCAGGUCAAGUCUGCCCCUGCUUCCCUGCAUCUAGAACCAUCUCUGGCUCCACCUCCCAUUAACACCCCAGAACAGAUUCCCUACCCACCUCCUCAAGAAGAACAUUGCCUCUGGGGAUUUUCUAAGAGUUUUUAGGAUAAGCAGCAGUUAGAAGCUAACAAUAAGUAAAAUUUCCAGAAAUCAAGAGAAACUUGCAAUGUUCCUUGACACUUUAAAUGAUGCACUUGAAACAAGAGGCUUACAUUAGGAUCUAAAUUAGAGUUCUUGAGUGGCUUUUUGUAUUUUUUCUUUCACGUUAACCUGACUACAACUUUAUCUUCUCCAUUCACUUCCAAGAAGUCCUUAUAUAAUAAAGAGUUGAAGGCUGAAGCCCUUGCUUCCUCAAUAGGGGGCAGGCUCACCAGCUCCAUCUUGUCAGUUACCUCUUAAUGGUUGGUAGGAUGAGGGAAGCUUUCUCAAAGGACAGUUAAAAUAGUGCUUUAAGAAAUCCUCAGCCAAUAAAUAGUUGCUUCCAGAGUUAUAAAGUCAGUUUUCUUAACCUCUCAAUCUCAACUCAACUCAAAUUACAAAGUUUACAUGCCUUUGGGGAUGGCUGUAUUAAGUAAAUAGAGAGGAAUGGUCACAUUCAGUGUAAGCUAAAACACCCAAGGCUGGCAGUAGGAAAAGGAGCUACCUACCUAUCAGGUCUUUCAUAAAGCCAGUCCCUUAAGUAGAAAGAAUAAAGUUCUCUCAAGACUUACCCUAUGGACUGCCUUUCACAGCUGGUUCAUAUUUAUAAGCCAAUUUGUCUGGAAGUAAAUCUCUUUAACACACCCAACUGACUCCAAGAGGUGUGUCCCAUGGGAACCAAUCUUAAAUAACUGUCUCAAGAAAAGUUUUAGCAGCAAUAUUGUCAGUCCUGGAAUUUCCACCUUUGGGGGGAAAAAAAAUCAACAAUAGAAUGCUUGGAAAUACAGAAUACACAGAGUUUAGCAAACUGCCAAAUUAAAUUCAGACACACACACACAAAUCUGCUAAUACCUGGUUAAAGAGUUGGCAUGGGAAGAAACAGACUUCUCAUUCAAGCCUGAAGCUCGGUAAUGGGUCAUUUGACCUGAAAUAACUUGGGCGGAAGUUGGCCUUAUUGUCUUCCACAAUCUCUUCCCACACAGUCAAAAAAGGGGAUGCAAUCUUAAGAUUUUUUCUUCCUCAUUCUCUCCCGCCCUUUCUCCUCUCCCUCCCUCCCUUUUAUUUUCUCUCUCUCCUUUCUUCCUUCUUUUCUUUCUCUUUCAAUCUUUGGGCAUCAAAAAGGGUAUCCCAGAAAACUUCAAAUGAAGUUUUAGAAGAGGACCGUGUGUUGGUUUCAGUUGUUUUUAGGGUGGGGGCUUGAACAACCUCAUCUCAAAAAUGGAGAUUUUUUUUAUUACCUCUUUUGGUUGAGAUAUAAUUAAUAUAUAAUAAAGCUAUCUAAUUUACUGAAUUGGUCUGAUUCACAAGUUAAAUAAGGUUAAAUCAAAGAAAACAUGUAUAAGUCCCUCUAGACAGUGUCCAGGGUUGACUGGAUUAUAAACAGACAUAACCACUGAGGUCACUUUUUAAUUUAAAAACCCUCAAUGGCUCCUGACUUCCUACAGAACAGUCUAAAAAUCUAAGGCUCAAAAAUGUCAGGCUCUCCUUUCUAGUGCUACCUGCUGCCCCCAUCUCUUAUACAUACCAUUUGUCAGAUGCAACCAGAUAAUAGAAAUUUCCAGUCUCUCAGCUUCCUCCUGCUGCCCCAGGUCUGCUUAUCAAGGCCCUGCCCAUCCUUCAAAGUCAGAAGUCAUCUCCUCCAUGGAGUCCUCCAGGUCAGUCCUGCUGGUAUUCAUUUCCUUGCCUAUGGCCUAUCUCAUUACAUUGUUAUUGCUGCUAAGGUAUUUGACACAUUCUGUUUCAUAUUAACUACUUCCUGUGACGAGCACCCUUCUUUCGUGUAAUUUUGAUAAACAUUCAUUGAGCAUCUAUAAUAUGUGGGCAGAGAGCCAGGCAUGGGGAGGAGCUCGGCAGAGGUACAGAGAUGAGUGAUGUGGUGUUUACUCUGGAAGAGCUCAGGGCCUGGUGGGGAGCCUUGAGGUGGCAAGUCCCACCAUGCACGAUCCAUCUCCAGCAGUGUCUACGGUUUCCAUGCACACCAGAUAUAGAUGCUAAUACAAAUGAAGCCGUGCUAAAGGUAAAAAAAAAAGAAAAAAAAAAAAAAAAAA
rnacentral:lncRNA from 1 species